rnacentral:rRNA from 1 species
GGCCUAACACAUGCAAGUCGAACGAGAUCUUUGGAUCUAGUGGCGCACGGGUGCGUAACGCGUGGGAAUCUGCCCUUGGGUUCGGAAUAACUUCUGGAAACGGAAGCUAAUACCGGAUGAUGACGUAAGUCCAAAGAUUUAUUGCCCAAGGAUGAGCCCGCGUAGGAUUAGGUAGUUGGUGAGGUAAAGGCUCACCAAGCCGACGAUCCCUAGCUGGUCUGAGAGGAUGAUCAGCCACACUGGGACUGAGACACGGCCCAGACUCCUACGGGAGGCAGCAGUAGGGAAUAUUGGACAAUGGGCGAAAGCCUGAUCCAGCAAUGCCGCGUGAGUGAUGAAGGCCUUAGGGUUGUAAAGCUCUUUUACCCGGGAUGAUAAUGACAGUACCGGGAGAAUAAGCUCCGGCUAACUCCGUGCCANCAGCCGCGGUAAUAC